rnacentral:lncRNA from 1 species
AGAUCACACAUACAAGACCGUUCUCUAUUUACUAUAGUAUUUACAUUUAACCAGAAUCUUCCAAAUGGAGAAACAAUCUCCAGAUUCAAAGAGCCAAGAAAGGAAGAAGAAGAGUCGACCAACAGAGAGAGAAAAAGAGGUAUUAUCAAAACCGUAUGGAAAAAAAAUACCACCCUUCCAGCUGGUUAUCAAAACUAAGGGCCAUCUCUAGUUUAAUCUCCACCAUUCAUUUAAUCCAAUGGUCCACAUCCAACCGGAAGAAACACAGAUCCGGGUCAUAUCAAAUACACGAAUCAGGAGCUGCCACGUGAUAUCUACCAACUUAAAAUACAGCAAAUGUCCAGAUUGCCCUCUCAUUAGUUGCUAAUUUGGAGAACCACGUUUUUUUUUCUCCUUCAAUCUUCACCUUGGUUCUCAAAAUUGCACUCACUCCCUCAGUUGCUGAAUUGCACUAUUGUGGAAAGGCUGAACAACAUCAUUGCCUUAGGUACCUGCAAAGAAAAAAUUACCCAGUAUCAAUGUUGAGAAGUGACAAAAACAUUCUAAACUUACUCACAGGCAGAAUUUUUGUGCCCAUAUCAGAUGGGUUAAUGUCAGUAUGAAUUUUCUCUAACAUCAUUUCACCUAAAGAUAGUUUCUCUCUUAUGAAAUGAUACUUCACCUCAAUGUGCUUGGACCUUUCAUGAUAGACAGGGUUCUUGCUUAACAAUAAUGCACUCUGACUAUCAGUAAGAAUAACAGGUGAUGAAAAAAGAAAAUUCAGUUCACUUAAAAUUCCUUUCAGCCACAUACAUUCUUUAACACAUUCAGUAAUUGCCACAUAUUCAGCUUCAGUACUAGAUAAAGUGACAAUUGGUUGAAGUUGAGACUUCCAUGUGAUACAGUUAUCACCAAGUGUAAAGAAAAAAGCUGUGGUAGAUUUUCUUUGAUCCUUAUCUCCAGCAAAAUCAGAAUCCACGUACCCUUUAAGGGUUAAUGGUUCUGAUCCCUUUUUGUACACUAGUCCUACACUUAGUGCCCCAGCUAUAUACCGUAAUAGCCAUUUUAAGCCAGCCCAAUGUGGUUUCCCCGGGUUUGCCAUAAACCUACUUAAAAAACUGAUUGAAUAUGCUAGAUCAGGUCAUGUUGUUAUCAUAGAAAACAUUACUGAUCCUAUUGCAUUGGAGUAAGGGAUAUUUUCCAUGUCUUUGGCCUCAGAUUCAGUUUUAGGACAUUGGGCUGAGGAGAGAUUCAUGUGAGCAGCAAGUGGAACAUUAACAGACUUAGCUUCUUUCAUGCCAAACUUAGAUAAAACUUUAUGUAGGUAAGACUCUUGGGUUAUUAUUAACCUGCCUUCUUGUCUAUUCCUAGUUAUCACCAUUCCCAGUAUUUUCUUGGCAUUCCCUAAGUCUUUCAUGUCAAAUUCAGAUUUUAGAAGGUUCUUCAUUCUUUU